rnacentral:snRNA from 8 species
UGUAGUAUCUGUUCUUAUCAGUUUAAUAUCUGAUACGUCCCCCAUCGGGGGACUACAUAUUAAAUGGAUUUUUCGAACAGGGAGUCGGAAAUGGGGCUUGCUCCGUCCGCUCCACGCAUCGACCCGGUAUUGCAGUACCUCCGGGAACGGUGCAACACUU